UACGUAGGGCGCGAGCGUUGUCCGGAAUUAUUGGGCGUAAAGAGCUCGUAGGCGGUUUGUCGCGUCGGUUGUGAAAACCCAAGGCUCAACCUUGGGCCUGCAAUCGAUACGGGCAGACUAGAGUACUGCAGGGGAGACUGGAAUUCCUGGUGUAGCGGUGAAAUGCGUAGAUAUCUGGAGGAACACCGGUGGCGAAGGCGGCAUCCUGGACCAAUUCUGACGCUGAGGAGCGAAAGCCAGGGGAGCAAACGGG
rnacentral:rRNA from 1 species